rnacentral:rRNA from 1 species
AUUGAACGCUGGCGGCAGGCCUAACACAUGCAAGUCGAACGGUAACAGGAAGAAGCUUGCUUCUUUGCUGACGAGUGGCGGACGGGUGAGUAAUGUCUGGGAAACUGCCUGAUGGAGGGGGAUAACUACUGGAAACGGUAGCUAAUACCGCAUAAUGUCGCAAGACCAAAGAGGGGGACCUUCGGGCCUCUUGCCAUCGGAUGUGCCCAGAUGGGAUUAGCUAGUAGGUGGGGUAACGGCUCACCUAGGCGACGAUCCCUAGCUGGUCUGAGAGGAUGUCCAGCCACACUGGAACUGAGACACGGUCCAGACUCCUACGGGAGGCAGCAGUGGGGAAUAUUGCACAAUGGGCGCAAGCCUGAUGCAGCUAUGCCGCGUGUAUGAAGAAGGCCUUCGGGUUGUAAAGUACUUUCAGCGGGGAGGAAGGGAGUAAAGUUAAUACCUUUGCUCAUUGACGUUACCCGCAGAAGAAGCACCGGCUAACUCCGUG